rnacentral:rRNA from 1 species
AGAGUUUGAUCCUGGCUCAGGACGAACGCUGGCGGCGGGCCUAACACAUGCAAGUCGAACGCACUCGACCUUCGGGUCACAUGAGUGAGUGGCGAACGGGUGAGUAACACGUGAGGAACCUGCCCCGAAGACUGGAAUAACCCGAGGAAACUCGGGCUAAUACCGGAUAUCCCCACCAGGUCGCAUGGCCAGGUGAGGAAAUGCUCCGGCGCUUCGGGAGGGUCUCGCGGCCUAUCAGCUAGUUGGUGAGGUAAUGGCUCACCAAGGCAUCGACGGGUAGCUGGUCUGAGAGGAUGAUCAGCCUCACUGGAACUGAGACACGGUCCAGACACCUACGGGUGGCAGCAGUCGAGAAUCAUUCACAAUGGGCGAAAGCCUGAUGGUGCGACGCCGCGUGGGGGAUGAAGGGCUUCGGUUCGUAAACCCCUGUCAUCUGUGAGUAAGACUCCCAAUAAAAGCUUGGGAGGUUGAUAUUAGCAGAAGAGGAAGGGACGGCUAACUCUGUGCCAGCAGCCGCGGUAAUACAGAGGUCCCAAGCGUUGUUCGGAUUUACUGGGCGUAAAGAGUGCGUAGGCGGCUAGAAAAGUUUGGUGUGAAAUCUUCGGGCUUAACCCGGAAACUGCACUGAAAACUAUCUGGCUAGAGGAUCGGAGAGGAGAUUGGAAUUCUCGGUGUAGCAGUGAAAUGCGUAGAUAUCGAGAGGAACACCAGUUGCGAAGGCGGAUCUCUGGACGGUUUCUGACGCUGAGGCACGAAAGCUGGGGUAGCGAAGAGGAUUAGAUACCCUCGUAGUCCCAGCCGUAAACGGUGCACACUUGCUGUGGGCGGAUUCGACUCCGUCCGUGGCGAAGCUAACGCGAUAAGUGUGCCGCCUGGGGAGUACGGUCGCAAGAUUAAAACUCAAAGAAAUUGACGGGGGCCUGCACAAGCGGUGGAGUAUGUGGCUUAAUUCGAUGCAACGCGAAGAACCUUACCUGGCCUUGACAUGUAGUGGACCGGGUGCGAAAUCACCCUUUUCUUCGGAACUGCUACACAGGUGCUGCAUGGCUGUCGUCAGCUCGUGUCGUGAGAUGUUGGGUUAAGUCCCGCAACGAGCGCAACCCUCGUGUUCUGUUGCCACCCGGAGUUAAAUCCGGAGCACUCUGGACAGACUGCCUGGUUUCAACUAGGAGGAAGGUGAGGAUGACGUCAAGUCAGUAUGGCCCUUACGGCCAGGGCUGCACACGUACUACAAUGCCUGAUAUAAUGGGAAGCAAGACCGCGAGGUGGAGCAAAUCCUCAAAAUCAGGCCCAGUUCAGAUUGUAGGCUGCAACUCGCCUACAUGAAGGAGGAAUCGCUAGUAAUGCCGUAUCAGCUACGACGGCGUGAAUACGUUCCCAGGCCUUGUACACACCGCCCGUCACAUCAUGAAAGUCGAUUGUACCCGAAGUCACUGAGUUAACUUGCAAAAGAAACAGGUGCCGAAGGUAUGGUUGGUAAUUGGGAUGAAGUCGUAACAAGGUAACC